CUUCUUCUCUCGGUUCACCUGGAGAUGAAAAAAAAAAAAGUUUAAAAUCAAAACAUACACCGCAUUUUAAUGACUUUGCAGGCCAAACAAUUUAUUCAUCUAUCAUGCAACCUAUUUACAUUUCCCAGAUACCACCUGUCCAGAGCACCAAACACACUUUAACCCAUUACAGCUGGCCAUAAACAGUGAGAAACAAGAGCUGACAAGAUCCCCCCCAACAAAGUCAUGUGUUUACAAUCACGCCCAAACAUAAGCAUGAUAAAGCUGAAACCUGAGGAAAAAUUCAGCCAUGAAUAGGAUUCCAAAUGAACAUUACAGAGAGGUUCAUGUUUACUGGCAGACGGAAAAUGGAGAGACGCAGAGAUGUCCCUGUAAAAUUGCACAGUCCUGUGGUAAGAAAUGUUCAAGUCAUCUCUACACUUACACUGUUGUUAAAAUGGCCAAAAAAAAAAAGAAAAAAAAAGAAAAGAAGAGAAGAGAAAAGAAAAGAAAAAGCGAAUUCUAUCACAGAAUUGUUUUAAAUAAUAGUUCACUCAAAAAUAAAAAUAAAAAUUGCUGUAAAUCUGCUCACCC
ensembl:lncRNA